rnacentral:rRNA from 1 species
CCCUGCCAUUUGUACACACCGCCCGUCGCACCUACCGAUUGAAUGGUCCGGUGAAAUCUCGGGACGGCUGCUUAACCGCUUGCGGUUGACGGCUGAAACUUGAUUAAACCAUAUCAUUUAGAGGAAGGUGAAGU